rnacentral:rRNA from 1 species
UACAGAGGUCUCAAGCGUUGUUCGGAUUCAUUGGGCGUAAAGGGUGCGUAGGUGGCGCCGUAAGUCGGGUGUGAAAUUUCGGAGCUUAACUCCGAAACUGCAUUCGAUACUGCGGUGCUUGAGGACUGGAGAGGAGACUGGAAUUCAUGGUGUAGCAGUGAAAUGCGUAGAUAUCAUGAGGAAUACCAGAGGCGAAGGCGGCUACCUGGACAAUUGCUGACGCUCAGGCACGAAAGCGUGGGGAGCGAACAGG